AUUGAACGCUGGCGGAAUGCUUUACACAUGCAAGUCGAACGGCAGCACGGGUGCUUGCACCUGGUGGCGAGUGGCGAACGGGUGAGUAAUGCACCGGAACGUAUCCAAUAAUGGGGGAUAACGCACCGAAAGGUGUGCUAAUACCGCAUACGCCCUGAGGGGGAAAGCGGGGGAUCGUAAGACCUCGCGUUAAUGGAGCGGCCGAUGCCGGAUUAGCUAGUUGGUGAGGUAAAGGCUCACCAAGGCGACGAUCCGUAGCUGGUCUGAGAGGACGACCAGCCACACUGGAACUGAGACACGGUCCAGACUCCUACGGGAGGCAGCAGUGGGGAAUUUUGGACAAUGGGCGCAAGCCUGAUCCAGCCAUGCCGCGUGAGUGAAGAAGGCCUCGGUUGUAAAGCUCUUUCGGUCCGGGAAGAAAUCGCAUGGGUUAAUACCCUGUGUGGAUGACGGUACCGGAA
rnacentral:rRNA from 1 species